rnacentral:rRNA from 1 species
AACGUAGGAGACAAACGUUAUCCGGAGUUACUGGGCGUAAAGGGCGUGUAGGUGGUAGUGUAAGUCUGGCGUGAAAUUUUUCGGCUUAACCGGGAAAGGUCGUCGGAUACUGCACAACUAGAGGACGGUAGAGGCGUGUGGAAUUCCGGGUGUAGUGGUGAAAUGCGUAGAUAUCUGGAGGAACACCGGUGGCGAAGGCGGCGUCCUGGACCAACACUGACACUGAUGAGCGAAAGCCAGGGGAGCAAACGGG